rnacentral:rRNA from 1 species
GACGAACGCUGGCGGCGUGCUUAACACAUGCAAGUCGAACGGAAAGGCCCUGCUUUUGUGGGGUGCUCGAGUGGCGAACGGGUGAGUAACACGUGAGUAACCUGCCCUUGACUUUGGGAUAACUUCAGGAAACUGGGGCUAAUACCGGAUAGGAGCUCCUGCUGCAUGGUGGGGGUUGGAAAGUUUCGGCGGUUGGGGAUGGACUCGCGGCUUAUCAGCUUGUUGGUGGGGUAGUGGCUUACCAAGGCUUUGACGGGUAGCCGGCCUGAGAGGGUGACCGGCGACAUUGGGACUGAGAUACGGACCAGACUCCUACGGGAGGCAGCAGUGGGGAAUAUUGUACAAUGGGCGCAAGCCUGAUACAGAAACGCCGCGUGCGGGAUGACGGCCUUCGGGGUGUGAACCGCUUUCGCCUGUGACGAAGCGUGAGUGACGGUACUGAGUAAAGAAGCACCGGCUAACUACGUG